UACGUAGGUGGCGACCGUUAUCCGGAGUGACUGGGUGUAAAGGGUCCGUAGGCGGGAAGGCAAGUCUGACGUGAAAGCGCCCGGCUCAACUGGGCGAGUGCGUUGGAAACUGCUUUUCUUGACUCACGCAGAGGUCGGCGGAAUUCCCGGUGUAGUGGUGGAAUGCGUAGAGAUCGGGAGGAACCUCGAAAGCGAAGGCAGCCGACUGGGGGAUGAGUGACGCUGAGGGACGAAAGCGUGGGGAGCGAACAGG
rnacentral:rRNA from 1 species